GGAGAGGUGGCUCAGCGGCUAAGAGCACUGGCUCUGCUCUUCCAGAGGGCCUGAGUUCAAUUCCCAGCAUCUACA
rnacentral:tRNA from 1 species